AUACGGAGGAUGCAAGCGUUAUCCGGAUUUAUUGGGUUUAAAGGGUGCGUAGGCUGUUCGGAAAGUCAGGGGUGAAAGCCCGGCGCCUAACGCCGGAACUGCCUUUGAUACUUCCGAGCUGGAAUACGGAUGCCGUGGGAGGAAUGAGUAGUGUAGCGGUGAAAUGCAUAGAUAUUACACAGAACACCGAUUGCGAAGGCAUCUCACGGAGGGUUGAUUGACGCUGAGGCACGAAAGCGUGGGGAUCAAACAGGAUUAGAUACCCUGGUAGUCCACGCAGUAAACGAUGAUGGCUAACCGCUGGGCUUAUCAGUUCAGUGGCCAAGCGAAAGCGAUAAGCCAUCCACCUGGGGAGUACGACCGCAAGGUUGAAACUCAAAUGAAUUGACGGGG
rnacentral:rRNA from 1 species